rnacentral:rRNA from 1 species
UAGGGAGGAGGCAAGCGUUAUCCGGAAUUAUUGGGCGUAAAGCGUCCGUAGGUGGUUGACCAAGUCUGCUGUCAAAGGGUGGGGCUUAACCUCAUAAAGGCAGUGGAAACUGGUGAGCUAGAGUGCGGUAGGGGUAAGGGGAAUUCCCAGUGUAGCGGUGAAAUGCGUAGAGAUUGGGAAGAACAUCGGUGGCGAAAGCGCCUUGCUGGGCCUGCACUGACACUGAGGGACGACAGCUAGGGGAGCUAAAGGG